ACAAUGAGGUGAGACAUCUACCAGGCUUUGAGACAAACUUUAACUUUUCCUAUGAACUCUUCUCUAAAGCAGGUCACAGGGAAAAAAAGGGUUUAAAGAGAAAUAACUUCUCCGGGCAAAAACUGAGGUUAGCGGGCCUAUCAGCUGUUUCUUCUCACUCCACCACUGCUGCUGACUGGAGGAGCAGCCUGGAAAGCAGCCGCCCUCCCGCAAACAGAGCUCCAGCUCCAAAUCUGUGAGAGUGCAUUUGGCAGAAUCUGAACAAGCAACACAAUGAUUAGAGGGUUUUUGUUUUUUUGUUUGUUUUUAACAGUUUUGUUACAAUGUUUCCACCCCAAAAUGUACCUGGGUAAGUGCUGGGCCCAUUUUUCCUUAUUCCUGACAUAGCUGCAAUUGUAUUAGCUAGAACCACCUAUUAUGCCUAGCUGCUCCAUCAGGAGCCUCUGCUGCCUAGGUGACCAUGUCUGGCCAGACGGGCCCAAUCGGGUAAAAAUGACUGGACUAGACAUGGGCACCUGAUUUUAGGAACCAGUCCAUAGCCAGCUUCUCCACCUCUGACUGACACAAAAAGAUGCAUUGAGACAAUCCUAUUCUUUCUUGGAGAUUUGAACUAAGAAUUUGCUAGAGGGCCCUGUGCAAAACCAUGGUGGGCAGAAACUACGAAGAAGCUUGCUCAAAGUGGAACUGAAGGAAGUAGCAGAAUUAUGCAGACUGGGGACCACUGGAAUCAACAUCUGUUGACUCUGGAUACCUUGAAACCCAACCACCAUUCAGCUUCAAUGUCCGUAAGACCAGAUUUUACUGUGAUACCAGUCCUUUUUUCUUUCAAUGUGAGCCUUUACAGUAAACUUCCUUUGUUAGGUAGGGGCUAGCUAAUGCCAGUUGGUCUCUAUUUCUUACAUCUAAAAAGAAACCUGAACUAAAACAUAGAACAAACACCAGAAUUGGGUCAAGGGUUGUAGUCUUAUUGUUUCUCAAUUAAAAGAAUAUUAUUUUUAAAAGUUCAAAAUAGAAUGAAACAAAAUCCCAUUUAAAUAUGGAGCUGGAAGUUAAAAUAUUUUAGUGACUCCUUUGGACCUGAGACAAAUUAUACUGGAGACUAGCUGUCAUCUGAAAUCACUUUUUCUUAAGUUUUUUUGGUUCAAUUAUUGCAUAAAGACCUAACAGUUAGAGAAAUAAGGAAUGUAUUUUUAUUUCUCUGUAGCCCCAUACUCCUGGGGAUGACAUUUCAACCUUUGCUCUAUCAGUUUCUACGAUUUUCUUACCCUCUGAACCUACCAAUAUACUUUUCUUACUAGGCUCCAGCUUUGAAUCAAUCAUGCUAUUUGUUUUCUCAGCUCCUGGGCUGUUAUAUUGUAAAGAUUCUUUACUGCACUAGCAUGAACCUAUAGUCAUCAGCUGAGCUUUCAAUGGCACAUGACAAUGUCACUGAGCAGCUCAUGCUUCUCUUCUCCAAAAUAGAGAUUCCAAAUUUCUAACACUUUCUAUAAAUCCCCUUCCAGCUCAGAUUGUUCCUUUUUUAAAAGUUAUUUGUAUCCUACUUCCUAGAAAAAAAAUUGACCUAUGAAAUAUAAAAUCCCUCAUUAAAAUUAUGAAGCAGAUAAGGAUGUCUGUCAUAUCUAAUUUUGCUCAGGGUGGAAUAUAGCUAGCUUUAAAACCAGCCAACUGACCAUGAAUCAACUAUAGUUGUAAGCCUUUCUUACAGGUAAAGGGGUCCACUUUACAAAGUUUUAAGCUAAAACCCAUAAGCAGAAGUCCCGAGGUGGAGCUUCUGGAAAAAAUCUUUCUUCCUGAUUGAAACAAGGAACUGCAGAGGUCAUGAUGGGACUAUGAGGCCUAAAGCCACACUCUCUAAGGGUAGUAGAACAGAAGAAUUCAAGGAGCUGAGGUUCCCAAGGUAUCAUGCAACCACAGUACCUGGCCUGGGUGGCCUAGCUCUAUGCCAUCAAUCCUUUACCCUUUGAUAUUCAUCAAUCCCUUACUUGUUUAAACCAAUAAUUCUCAAACUAGUAGCAUUAGUAUCACCUGGGAACUUGUUAGAAAUCCAUAUUCUUGGGCCCCAUACUGGGUAAGAAACAGUGUGGGUUUAGAAAUCUGAGCUUUUAUAAGCCCUCCAGGUGAUUUUGACGCAUUUUAAUGUCUGAGAAUCUCUAGUUUAUGUCGCUGUCUUUUAAGUCUUCCUAAAGGCCAAAUAAAAAAUGUAUUUUUAUGCAUAUAUGGGGCUAAAAAACUGGCUAGCUUUAAAAAUGUAACAUUUUAAUUUUUAAUAUAUUAACGGCUAAUAUAAAAAAGUAAAAAAUUUGUAUAACAAAAUAAAAUACUUAUACCGUGGUAUGGAAGAAAAGCAAGUUAUGCAUGUCGUAUCUACUAUUCAUAUGCACAUGAGUAUGUGCAUAUACUCCCAAACAUUUCAAAUGAAAUAUUCCAAAUAUUGACUAUACAUUAUCUCUAGGUAGUGGGAUUUAACUAAUGCUUGUUUUGUUUUUUUUUCUUCCAAAUUAUCUACAAUGAAGAUGUAUUGCUUUUAAAACCAGAAAAAUAUGCAUAAAAUAUUAUAUAUGAAGCAUGCAAAUGAUAGAUUUAAGAAUAGACACUAGGUGAGACAUAAGGAUUUAAUUACUAAGGAUAAACUUAAGAGAAAUUGUACUAAAAGCUCAUAAUGGGAUAAAUAAAGUUGCAAUGUUUUUUGGCAAUCGUUCUACAGUACCAAAUAUACUCCCUGGAAUCUUCACUACGAUCAAGAUAAUGAACCUAUUCAUCACCCCCAGAAGUUUCCUCGUGCCCCUUUGUAUUACUUUUGUUUGUAAUAGGUAAGUUGACAUAUUUACUUUUGAUUCAUGGCUGUGUUCGACAAGAAGCUUGCAAAAUUACUCGGGAUUUAAUAAUCAGCUCUUACAAGCUAGUAUGAACUGGCUACAGCACACCACUGAUUCUGUUACUGCUCAUUCUCCUUUCUCUAGUUUAAGUAACUUCAGUUUCUUUGACAGUUCCUCAUCUUACCUAUGUUUUCCAGGCUUUCAUCAAUUUUAAACCUCUCAAUUCAGUGGUUGAGCUCAGACCUGGACCUAGAGAGACCUAUACUUUAGGUUAUAGGCUUAAAAAUGAAGCCUAUAAAUGCUUGGGGCAGUUUACAAGGGCUGAGAAAUUGGAGGUUGCUGGGAAAAGCAGCUCUACUAUAGAAAGGGUCCCUUUCUAAGUAAGUCACCCUUGGGAGUUCAGUCUGUGAAUGUCAGUAGAAGGAUGAAGGGAAGCAGGUUACCCAGUUCUGAUGUGGGGCAUACUAUUGCACACUGCUUUCUGCAAGCAGCACUUAGUAGCACUAAUUGAAUCCAACCCCACUGAUCAUUUCAGAUACCAACCCCCAUCUGGCCUAUAUCUACUCAGGAAUAAUGGCUGUGGGUGUCAUAGAGGUAAUUUGAAAGACAUUUUCCUCUACUGCUUUAAGUGAAACCUCAAGAAUAUUUUAAAAAACCCUCAGCAGUCCCAAAAUGUCUUAUUCAGGGUUAAUAACUUUCUUUCCACUGGCCAUAAUGGAAUUUAGUCCUCAUUUAUGUGUUCUUGCUUUUAUGAAUCCCAGAAAGAUGGCCUGAUUUUAAAGCUUGUCCUUGACUCUUCUUCAAGCAGCAGGAUCCAGAUCAUUCACUCUGCCACCAUAAUUUUAACAUAAAACACUCCUAAACUGUGUCUGAGACGAUUACAAAUUUCUUUAUCUUGCAGUAAAAGUAAAAUCUCAAAACUUUUACAAUUCUUAAUAGUAUUUAGGUUACCCUAGCCAAGUGCAGGCCUAGGAAUGCUAGGAAUGUCCUAGAUGCAAAUAGUUUUUUGGUGAAUGGUUAUUUAUGCAGAAUAUUCUGGCCCAAGCUGAAAAUGGCUUUUGAUUGUUUAGAAAGGAAAUUACAGCAUUUAAAACAUAUUAAAGUUUAAAAUAACAUUUUUGAGCAAUUAGGAUAUAAAAGAAUAGAUGGGGAAGAAAUUAGUUAAAUUGCAAGACCCGUAAACAAAACUAACACUACUCAUUUCAAUUCAGUUCCCAGCCUAAGAAAAUUUUCAUUUCAGCAAGGCUUUUCCUGUCUUUUAGACUACUGGAAAAAAUGGUUGGUUCAUUUCACAUGAAAGUAAUGGACCCUGGCUUUGGUCUAGUAUUAAUAAUGUAGAUGACAGUGUGAGGCAACACUGGGUCUGGGGGUUAUUCCAUUGGCAAAUAUGUAUGAAAAACACAGGAAUAUUUAUUCUGCUGAACUAUUUUUAUAAGCCUGUUAUGGCUUCUAAAUCAUCAAGAGGAAGGUUCCUUUACUUGCUACUCUUCACAUUUCCAAACCCUCCCGGUCUUUGAAUAGUUGUUGCUGUUCAAAGUGUAGGAGUAUAUGGAAGAGCAACAUGGAUAUCACCUGGGAGCUCAUUAGAAAUGCAGAACUUAGGCCCCAGACCUGCUGAAGCAGGAUCUGCAUGGUAACAAGAUCCCAGGCCAUUCACAAUCACAAGAAAGUCCCACAGGUGACCAUCUGCAGAGACUGUCUCUAAUAAUUUUGGCCCGCAAUGUUUAAUGCCUCUUUUCUCUGAACUUUUACCUUACCUUCUGUCUGCUCUAUAUAAUUUAGCAGUUGAUUAUAUGAUCUUAUGUUUCUUAAUAAUUACUGGAGGUAUGCAAAUCUUAUUUACAAGAUUAUGCAAGUCUCUGUUACGGAGGUUUGCAAUCAAUGCUCAUUAUUCCAUUGUUUGUUAAAGCCCUAUUCUAUUCCUUUCUGCCUUAUGUUCCAAAACAUUUUGAGGUCAGGUUUAGGAAAAAUUAUAAAAAAUUAUCCUAAUAUUAAUAAAAGUAAAUACAUGCUUUAGAAAGAAGCUGUUAAUAAGAGUGGAAGACUGUAAAUAACUUCAUAUAUAGUUUUUGUUUUCUUAUGAAUGCCAAGACAUGAAAGUAAACUGUGCUCUUGGCAAAUGGUUUAGAAUAUAACCAAUCCUUGAUUUUUCAUUAAAAUCAUAUCUGUAGCCUGUAAUCCCAGCACUUUGGGAUGUUGAGGCAGGAAGAUUGCUUGAGACCAGAAGUCAGAGACCAGCCUGGGCAACAUAGUGAGAUGCGUCUCUACCAAAAAAAGUAAAAAAAAAAAAAAAAAAAAAUUAGCUGGAUAUGGUAGUGCAUGCCUGUAGUCCUACCUACUCAGGAGGCUAAGGCGGGAGGAUCCCUUGAGCCCAGGAGUUCAAGGUUGCAGUGAGCUCUAAUUAUGCCAUUAUGCUGUAGCCUACAGCCUGGGCAACAGAGCAAGACCCUGAAUCAAAAAAGAAGAGAGAGAGAGAGAGAGAGAGAGAGAGAGAAAAGAAAGAAAGAGAAAGGAAAAAGGAAAGAAAGAAAGAAAGAAAGGCUUAGUACGAGUACAUCAAUAGCAAAAGAAUUAGAGGUACUAUGGCACAGUAGUUAAUUUAACAUUUUUUAUGGCAAUAUCUACUUUGUGAAUUGACCAUAAUAUUAUUUAAUCUCUAUGAGCUUGUAAGAUCUCAAUUUAAUAUCAUUACAAGCCAUCCCUUGUGUUUAAAGUACAUCUCCAUUAGAAUUAGUUCCCAGAUUGUAUUAAUGCUUAAAGAAUUAAAAUAACUAUUAGCAAGAGAGGAAUGAAAAAUCUAGGAAAACGAACAACAUAACACGUAUAUUGUACACACACACAUACACACACACACACCCACACAUACACACACAGGCUGACCUGUUGACUGCUCCAGGCAAUGUUGGAAUAGGAAAUAAGUUUUCUGUUGAGGUUAAUAUUUUUGUGGAUUUUUUUAACCAUUGUAAGAAAACCUGUAAUAAAUUUAAGAGUAGAAAAAAAUAGUUUUGCUGUUAGGAAAGAUAAAAGAAAGUUAUCAUAUAUUAUGUUCUGUAGAUUGUUUCUUUCGGUGGUAUCAAAAGAAUUGGCCCAUGUUUGAAGAUCUGAAUUUAAUUAAGUCUACACAGAAUAUAGUUUAAAGGUGUGAAGACUUUGCUAUUAAUAUGAUAAAUACUUUUUCUUAAGACAUUGUUUAUCUACAGAAAGACUACCAUAUUCAAGAUUUAAAGGUAGAUUGUUUUUGUUCACAUCAUUUUGAUCUUAGGUUUUGCUGGAAACAUUCACAAGAAGGGGGCCUUUAAUUUAUGUAUGCUUUAAGAAUACUUAAUAGCUAAUCUACAAAUUAAAAAAAAAAAUACCUGGCUAGGCACGGUGGCUCACGCCUGUAAUCCCAGCACUUUGGGAGGCCGAGGUGGGCAGAUCACGAGGUCAGGAGAUCGAGACCAUCCGGGCUAACAUGCAGAAGCCCUGUCUCUACUAAAAACUCAAAAAAUUAGCCGGGCGUGGUGGCACAUGCCUCUAGUCCCAGCUACUCGGGAGGCUGAGGCAGGAGAAUCCCUUGAAUCCCGGAGGUGGAGGUUGCAGUGAGCCGAGAUUAUGCCACUGUACUCCAUCCUGGGCAACAGAGCGAGACUGUGUCUCAAAAAAAAAAAAAAAAAAAAAUUCCUUUUUUGUUUUUCCACAAAAAUUUUUUCUGUGUUUUCCUUGAAGUUUUUCCAAGGAAAAACUUUGGAAACCAUGUCCUGCCUUGAAUUACUUUUAAUAAUCUCAAGACAGCAUGGAUUGGCUUGCAAAGACUAAUAGUUGACUUCAUGUUCCAGAAGCAUCAGAGAAUGCUGAUCAUGUUGAGAGCUGGCCCCUUUGCAGGCAUCUACUGGGUUUCCUGGAAGUAAAAACUUGUAAUUUUCAAGUAUGGCAUGGGGAUAGUUGCUCUGAAAUGCAUUCCAGAACUGUCAAGAUUAGGUCUUCAUGAGAAGUCAGGUUUGGAGAAGUCAUUCAUUCAAGAUGAUGUUUAGGUAGUAGAAAUCAGUGAAGGUGAUUGCAGAGGUCAAAGGGCAUGACCCUACAUUCUAAUGACAGGAAUUGUGUUUGGAAAAUUUCAGUUUUCUUCUUAAUGUGUCCACUUGAAUGCAUGCAAGCUCUGUGGAGAUAAGCAGAGUCUAUGGUAGUUUUGUCCUGUGGCUAUCUUGGGCCCACUAGAAUCAUAGCAGAUAUGACAGAGGCACAGCUUGCCUCAGUUUCUGCUUACACACAGAACAGCUUCUUCUACAUAUAAAGCCACAUAUAAUUUAACACCUAAACUAGGACACUUGUGACAGUGAAAAGAGAUGCUAUUGACAAUUUCAGCUGGAAAACAGGUGGAUACCAUUUGGCUAAUGGAUCAAUGAGAAAUGUUGAAGAAUGAAUGAACCAGCAUCUGUGUGUUUUAUUAAUGGGUUUUCAAAGACCCUGGGUCUUCAGACCUAAGAAGAAGGUGGUAUAGCAAAGCACUGGCUUUGGGGGUACACAGCCAGUUGAAAUCCUACUUUAACAUUUACUGUUUGUGUGAUCUUGGGCAUAUUUGCUAAUUACUUUGUGUCUCUCUGUUUUCUUGUUAUAAAUGGGAAUAAUAAUUCUCACCACACCGGGUUGUUUUAAGAAUUAAAGAAAUGAUGUAUAUAUAGCAUUUGGUGUGGUGCCUGGCACAGAGUAAACAUUUGGCAAAUAAUCAUUAUUAUUCUUAAUUAUUGUCCCUACUUGACCAGAACCUUGUUCUAGGUAUAAGAAUAAUGCUACAGCACAGUCAAGGUGGAGAAGAGCCAUUUUGGCCUCUUGGUCGAAGCAUCCAUUGUAACAAAACAACUCAGCCUGAUGUCCCAUGAUCAUGAAAGGAGCUCAUGGUAGGACUGAAUGAACACGGUGUCUUACAAAUAUUUAGGCUGAAUCAUGAGGACCAGGGCCCAAGCCUUUAGUAUAGGCCUACUGCUUGAAUAGGAAGGCCUUAUACAACCAAAAUGACCUAGAUUUCCAGCACAUCUUCCUGAUGCUCUGCAAUAUUUAUCUUUUUCUUGGAAGAGCUCAUUAGCAAGAUGGAAGGUGUUCAGGUUACUCACGAAUGUACAUAUUAUAGACUUCUCUUUAUGAGUAUAUGUGUUAGUUUAUUUUUGCAUUGCUACAAAUACCCGAGGCUUGGUAAUUUAUAAAGAAAAGAGGUUUAAUUAGCUCACAGUUCUGUAGGCUGUAUAGGAAGCAUGGUGCUGGCAUCUGCUCAGCUUCUGGUAGGGCCAUAGGGAGGUUUUACUCAUGGCAGAAGGCCAAGGGGGAAAAAGGCAUGGUGAGAGAGGGAGCAAGAGAGAGAGAAGGGGGAGGUCCCAGACUCUCUGAACAACUAGGUCUAUUGUGAACUGAGUGAGAACUCACUCAUCACCAAGGAGAUGGUGCUAAGCCAUUCAUGAGGGAUCUGCCCCCAUCAUCCAAUACUUCCCACCAGGCCCCACCUCCAACAUUGAGGAUCACAUUUCAACAUGAGAUUUGAAAGGGACACACCUCCAAAUCCUAUCAGUAUAUGAAUAAUGUUGAAAUAUACUUUUCUGGGGGAAUAUAGGGGAAGUAGGGCCAGUGGUUUGCUCAUAAAAAAAUUUCAAAAAUUGUGAAAGCCAUCAUUAAAAAUUAAUUUAUAUAUAAACCUGUACUAAAUAAAAGAUCUUAAAAACAAAGUUUAUAAAUACUCAAAACUCAUUACUUCAUAAUUAUUUUACUACAUUUUACUAAUAUCUAUGCUUUUAAGUUUGUGUCUGUUGUGUCUGUAUGGGAGAAAUAUUCUACGGUGGUCUGCUGUUGUCAUUAUAUAUCUUUUCUCAGUUCAGUGUAUUCAGUGAUGUCACCCUGGUAGCUUGAAAUUAGCCAUGAUGGGAAUAGUUACACCAUGGAAACUGGUGAGCACUACAAAUAAAGGCUUGAUUUAUUGUUUUUUGAUUGUUGAUUGCCUCGACCUUAGACAGUUAUACAGGAAAUGCACAUUAAACUUAAAUGUAUGCCUUGACUGUAACCAGCACGGUGUGAAUGGACCAAAAAAUGAGGAAAUAUUCUUCAAGUAUUCAAAAACAAUUCUCUGAUAGAGCAAAGAAGUCACUUCAUCAUUGAGAAACUACUGAAGUUCCUAUAUUUAUCUUCAUUGUUUCACUUUCUUGUUAACAUAAAAAAAUGUGUUAACCAAGAUUUAUGUCAGAACUAUACUGUGGCUCAUCAAUUGCAGCCAUAGGUUGGCUGUGAAUGCAACAGUUUAGUAAAAACAAAAACAUUCUGUGAGAUUCAAUUAGCUAUAUAUAAUUUACAGUAACAAAUAUUGUAUAUAUUAUUAUUUGCAAAUUGUAUGCCAAGAAUCCUUCAUAUUAGUCACAAUUUAUAAUAAUUGUAUGUAUAUGUCCAUCUAUCUAUGCCUAUAUUGUUUUUUUUUUAAAUUAUUAUUAUACUUUAAGUUUUAGGGUACAUGUGCACAAUGUGCAGGUUAGUUACAUAUGUAUACAUGUGCCAUGCUGGUGCGCUGCACCCACUAACUCGUCAUCUAGCAUUAGGUAUAUCUCCCAAUGCUAUUCCGCCCCCCUCCCCCCACCCCACAACAGUCCCCAGAGUGUGAUGUUCCCCUUCCUGUGUCCAUGUGUUCUCAUUGUUCAGUUCCCACCUAUGAGUGAGAAUAUACGGUGUUUGGUUUUUUGUUCUUGCGAUAGUUUACUGAGAAUGAUGAUUUCCAAUUUCACCCAUGUCCCUACAAAGGACAUGAACUCAUCUUUUUAUGGCUGCAUAGUAUUCCAUGGUGUAUAUGUGCCACAUUUUCUUAA
rnacentral:lncRNA from 1 species